UAAUACGGAGGGUGCAAGCGUUAUCCGGAAUCACUGGGUUUAAAGGGUGCGUAGGCGGCAUUAUAAGUCAGAGGUGAAAGCCCGUCGCUUAACGAUGGAAUUGCCUUUGAUACUGUAGUGCUUGAAUCAAGUUGAGGCUGGCGGAAUGUGGCAUGUAGCGGUGAAAUGCAUAGAUAUGCCAUAGAACACCAAUUGCGAAGGCAGCUGGCUGGACUUGAAUUGACGCUGGGGCACGAAAGCGUGGGGAGCGAACAGGAUUAGAUACCCUGGUAGUCCACGCCCUAAACGAUGUUUACUCGUUCCAGGCACUGGUUGUCUGGGACCAAGCGAAAGCGUUAAGUAAACCACCUGGGGAGUACGUCGGCAACGAUG
rnacentral:rRNA from 1 species